AUUGAACGCUGGCGGCAUGCCUUACACAUGCAAGUCGAACGGCAGCGGGGGAGAAGCUUGCUUUUCCUGCCGGCGAGUGGCGAACGGGUGAGUAAUACAUCGGAACGUGCCCUGUAGUGGGGGAUAACUAGUCGAAAGAUUAGCUAAUACCGCAUACGACCUGAGGGUGAAAGUGGGGGACCGCAAGGCCUCAUGCUAUAGGAGCGGCCGAUGUCUGAGUAGCUAGUUGGUGGGGUAAAGGCCUACCAAGGCGACGAUCAGUAGCUGGUCUGAGAGGACGAUCAGCCACACUGGGACUGAGACACGGCCCAGACUCCUACGGGAGGCAGCAGUGGGGAAUUUUGGACAAUGGGCGAAAGCCUGAUCCAGCAAUGCCGCGUGUGUGAAGAAGGCCUUCGGGUUGUAAAGCACUUUUGUCCGGAAAGAAAUGGCUCUGGUUAAUACCUGGGGUCGAUGACGGUACCGGAAGAAUAAGGACCGGCUAACUCCUUGCCAGCCGCCGCCGUAA
rnacentral:rRNA from 1 species